CCUACGGGUGGCAGCAGUCGAGAAUCAUUCACAAUGGGGGAAACCCUGAUGGUGCGACGCCGCGUGGGGGAAUGAAGGUCUUCGGAUUGUAAACCCCUUUCAUGUGGGAGCAAAUUAAAAAGAUGGUACCCCAAGAGGAAGAGACGGCUAACUCUGUGCCAGCAGCCGCGGUAAUACAGAGGUCUCAAGCGUUGUUCGGAAUCACUGGGCGUAAAGCGUGCGUAGGCUGUUUCGUAAGUCGUGUGUGAAAGGCGCGGGCUCAACCCGCGGACGGCACAUGAUACUGCGAGACUAGAGUAAUGGAGGGGGAACCGGAAUUCUCGGUGUAGCAGUGAAAUGCGUAGAUAUCGAGAGGAACACUCGUGGCGAAGGCGGGUUCCUGGACAUUAACUGACGCUGAGGCACGAAGGCCAGGGGAGCGAAAGGGAUUAGAUACCCCUGUAGUC
rnacentral:rRNA from 1 species